rnacentral:rRNA from 1 species
GACGAACGCUGGCGGCGUGCUUAACACAUGCAAGUCGAACGGAAAGACCCUGCUUUUGUGGGGUGCUCGAGUGGCGAACGGGUGAGUAACACGUGAGUAACCUGCCCUUGACUUUGGGAUAACUUCAGGAAACUGGGGCUAAUACCGGAUAGGAGCUCCUGCUGCAUGGUGGGGGUUGGAAAGUUUCGGCGGUUGGGGAUGGACUCGCGGCUUAUCAGCUUGUUGGUGGGGUAGUGGCUUACCAAGGCUUUGACGGGUAGCCGGCCUGAGAGGGUGACCGGCCACAUUGGGACUGAGAUACGGCCCAGACUCCUACGGGAGGCAGCAGUGGGGAAUAUUGCACAAUGGGCGGAAGCCUGAUGCAGCAACGCCGCGUGCGGGAUGACGGCCUUCGGGUGGUAAACCGCUUUCGCCUGUGACGAAGCGUGAGUGACGGUAAUGGGUAAAGAAGCACCGGCUAACUACGUG